AGAUGACCACUGAGAAGACUCCAACACUGUGUCCAGAAAAGUGCCAAAAACAUCAACUGGUAUGCGCAACAGUAUCCUGCCUGGACAAAUGUCUGGAGUGCACAGGAUCUGUAUCUGCAUUUAAAUGGCUUGGAUAUAAAUGCACAGCGUGUUCUGGGAUCUGGCAUAAAUCUUGCUUCAAACAAUUUAUAGAUAAUCAACUCAAAUGCUCAUCUAGGGUAUCGGAUUCUUGUCGUUCUGAGGAUGAGCUGUUUACAGACAAACAAGAUUUAAAAGACAACGCAUCAGAUGAAGAUAGGCUCACUGAAUGUGAUAUGU